UUGAAGGUUCAUUAGCAGAGUA
rnacentral:miRNA from 1 species